UACGUAGGGUGCGAGCGUUGUCCGGAAUUACUGGGCGUAAAGAGCUCGUAGGUGGUUUGUCGCGUUGUUCGUGAAAUCCCACGGCUUAACUGUGGGCGUGCGGGCGAUACGGGCAGACUGGAGUACUGCAGGGGAGACUGGAAUUCCUGGUGUAGCGGUGGAAUGCGCAGAUAUCAGGAGGAACACCCGUAGCGAAGGCGGCACUCUGGGCCGGAACUGACGCUGAGGAGCGAAAGCGUGGGGAGCGAACAGG
rnacentral:rRNA from 1 species